rnacentral:lncRNA from 1 species
AUCCAACACUUAUAAAAGUAACUUAAAAAAAGGGAAAAAUUCGGCAUGACCUAUGCUGUAAAACAAGAAAAUUUCGGCAUGACCAUUACUGUAAAACAACAAAUGAGUCUACCCGAAUGUUAUACCUACAUAAAAAAAACUCCCACCCACAUAUACCCCCUCGGCACGAUGGCCGGACCCUUCUCAACGUCUCGGCACGAUGGCCGGGCCCACAUUUGUCAUAUCAACCGACACGAUGGUCGGGAUCACAUCCAUGUAUCAUUAAACCAUAAACAGCAAUAACGUCAAUACUUAACCAUAAACAGCAAUAUAUACCCUAACUAAACAUAAACAACAAUAUUUAAACCCUAACUAAACAUAAACAACAACCCUAAUUUAAAAAAACUAGCAAGAUUCAACCCUAACUAACUAUAGAACUAAACAUAAACAACAAUAUUUAAACCCUAACUAAACAUAAACAAUAAGAUUCAACCCUAAUUAACUAUAGAACUAAAGAUUUUAAACCCUAACUAACCAUAAACAAUAAGAUUUUAAAACCUAACUAAACAUAAACAAUAAGAUUCAACCCUAAGCGUACCGGGG